AGGGUUUGAUUAUGGCUCAGGACGAACGCUGGCGGCAUGCUUAACACAUGCAAGUCGAACGGGGCACCCAUGACUGAGGAUUCGUCCAAAUGAUUGGAAUGCCUAGUGGCGGACGGGUGAGUAACGCGUGAGCAACCUGCCUCGGAGUGGGGGACAACAGUUGGAAACGACUGCUAAUACCGCAUGACGCAUUUGGGGGGCAUCCCUUGAAUGCCAAAGAUUUAUCGCUCCGAGAUGGGCUCGCGUCUGAUUAGCUAGUUGGUGAGGUAACGGCCCACCAAGGCGACGAUCAGUAGCCGGACUGAGAGGUUGGCCGGCCACAUUGGGACUGAGAUACGGCCCAG
rnacentral:rRNA from 1 species